AUGAUCCCUUCCGCCACGCUCCUCCACGCUGCGUGGAUCACGGCCGCCGUCGCCGUCUGCCUCGCGCUCUGCACCAUCCACUCCCGCAAGUCCUCCUCCUCGCUCCGCCGCGGCUCUUCACGCCCCGGGCCGGCUCGCAGCUCCACCGCUGCCGCCAGGACCAGCGAGUGCAACGGCGAUAUUGGCGCGGCAGCCGGCGCCACGCCGGCUGCGAGGGUAUCCCCGACGCCAAGCGACACGUCCAAGAGCUGCUGCGUUAACGUAGGCGAUCUGCACGAGCCGGCGCGCGUGGGGGACAACGUCAUGCAGAUCGAUGCCAGCGCCGUUGCCGGCCCGGUCACGGUCAUUGACGUUGGGACGCACGGGCCGAUCGCGCCGGUGUUCCUGGUGCCGGACCCGAUGCCACCGCGGCGGAGCCUUUCGGUGAAGCACAUCCGGUUCGCUGAGCGGCUGGAGAAGAUACGGUCGAGGCGGUGGGGAGGAGACAACGACGACGCGGAGGCCCAGCUGGACGACACCACGCUGUGGACGAAGACGAUCCUUCUCGGGGAGAGGUGCCGCGUCCCAAGCGGGGGCGGGGAUGGCGGCGGCGGCGACGACGCGUUGGGCUACAGGCCGAGGCAUCCCCGGUCGGUGCCGUGA
rnacentral:rRNA from 1 species